rnacentral:rRNA from 1 species
UUCGGGUCGUAAAAUUCUGUUGUCAGAGAAGAACGUGCGUGAGAGUAACUGUUCACGUAUUGACGGUAUCUGACCAGAAAGCCACGGCUAACUACGUGCCAGCAGCCGCGGUAAUACGUAGGUGGCAAGCGUUGUCCGGAUUUAUUGGGCGUAAAGGGAACGCAGGCGGUCUUUUAAGUCUGAUGUGAAAGCCUUCGGCUUAACCGAAGUAGUGCAUUGGAAACUGGAAGACUUGAGUGCAGAAGAGGAGAGUGGAACUCCAUGUGUAGCGGUGAAAUGCGUAGAUAUAUGGAAGAACACCAGUGGCGAAAGCGGCUCUCUGGUCUGUAACUGACGCUGAGGUUCGAAAGCGUGGGUAGCAAACAGAAUUAGAUACCCUGGUAGUCCACGCCGUAAACGAUGAGUGCUAAGUGUUGGAGGGUUUCCGCCCUUCAGUGCUGCAGCUAACGCAUUAAGCACUCCGCCUGGGGAGUACGGUCGCAAGACUGCAACUCAAAUGAAUUGAGGGA